rnacentral:rRNA from 1 species
UACGUAGGGUGCAAGCGUUAAUCGGAAUUACUGGGCGUAAAGCGUGCGCAGGCGGUUGUGCAAGACAGAUGUGAAAUCCCCGGGCUUAACCUGGGAAUUGCAUUUGUGACUGUACGGCUAGAGUGUGUCAGAGGGGGGUAGAAUUCCACGUGUAGCAGUGAAAUGCGUAGAGAUGUGGAGGAAUACCGAUGGCGAAGGCAGCCCCCUGGGAUAACACUGACGCUCAUGCACGAAAGCGUGGGGAGCAAACAGG